rnacentral:rRNA from 1 species
UACGGAGGGUGCGAGCGUUAAUCGGAAUUACUGGGCGUAAAGCGUGCGUAGACGGUUUCGUAAGUCGGGUGUGAAAUCCCCGGGCUCAACCUGGGAAUUGCAUUCGAAACUGCGAGGCUAGAGUACGGAAGAGGGAAGCGGAAUUUCUGGUGUAGCGGUGAAAUGCGUAGAUAUCAGAAGGAACAUCAGUGGCGAAAGCGGCUUCCUGGUCCAGUACCGACGUUCAGGCACGAAAGCGUGGGGAGCAAACAGG